rnacentral:lncRNA from 1 species
CCAAGCCAUUCUAUGAUUCUGUGAGGAUGGUCACAGCUGCUACUAUAUCAUCUCAUGCUUCCCAUUGAGAUGUAAUUCUCAGAAAGCAUCUCAAACAACAGAUCACUGAAUACUUAAUUUGGUUAAAUAUAUAUAUAUAUCAGGAGUGACAUUCUUCCAGUUCCAUGUCAGUUGAGCAGGUAUAGUGAAACUAGGUAUAGUUCUGUUUACUUUUAAAAGGCUUUUCUAUCAUCAUACACAGCCUUGGUGUCAGUGUGGUGUUGUAACAAGAUAACUGACAAGACCACAUGCAUCAAUUUUCUACCAGUUAUCUCUGCCCUCGGAUGCCUUGUCAUUUUACUUUAUACAAACUGACUAUUUGAGGCAGCAGUAGAAGACUUCUUCAUGCUCCGUUGAUGAAUAAUGAAGCCUUCUCCUCAACCAUCAUGUAUCAUGCUUCACAGAAGCUUAAUUAGCUCAUCUGAGAUAGCCUGGCAGAAUUCAAAAGUUGUUGCCAACACUGAGCUUCUUCAACUGAGCUCCUCAAGGGACAACCCUUGGAGGUGAAGAUGGGGACAUUCAUCUGUUACUAUGGAGACAAGCAGAGUCAGCAUUCAAUCCUGUCCCAUUGGUGCACAGUGACAUUUCUGAGUCUCUAUGGUAACAGUGGAGUUUCUGGCACAUCUGACCUUCUCCAGGGUGAAAGAGCAGCCCUCCAGCACAGAGAUGCAAGAACUGAGAUGCACACAUUAUUUCAGUUGCAGAGAAUUAGUAAAAGGGAGAAAAUUCUAGCAUACAAACAAGCAUGCACUGAACAUGCUUGCAACUGCAUGUACCCAGCAUUCUGAAGACUGCAAUAGGUGAGUCAAGCUCCAGUAGCUGCAGAACACAACUGAAAGUCGUUUGGAGAAGAAAAAUGCAGAAGCAGGAGAGUUACAGCUAGCCUCUAGAUCAAAGCCAUGACAACUCUCUUCUAGAUACUAUUGAUAUAAUAAAUAUUUCUUUGCUUUUGAUUUGCUAUUUCUC